GCCACCGAAAGUGACAAGUUUGAAGCGCAAAUACCCUCGAAAUGAGUUCCUGGACCCCGGAGAGGACCCCUACCUAAUUUGUAGCAGAUCCCAGGGGCUUUGAGAUUGUAGUUCAAUAUCCUGCUAAGCAGUUCUUGUCCUCUUUGAAAAGCUAGCGACCCCAGGCUCGAGCUAAAUAAUGUAACCUUUUAAGCACAUUUUGCUGGGAUCUUGAAUUAAUGCACUCAGCCAUAGGUAGUUUGAGCUACAUCAUACACGCAAGGUAAUAAUCCUGAGGUGCAUUUAUGUUUAAAACUCUAAUUCAGGUAGUUUGAGAGAUAAUAUACACGAAGGAUGAAGUUGCAGUCAAAGCUGAAGAUGGUUCCAUUUACAAAGCUAAGUAAGCUAUUGUCUCUGUAAGCGUUGGAGUCCUCCAAACUGACCUGAUUGAUUUCAGGCCUAAGUUACGUCAUCUAGAGAAUUAAUGAAUAUCCAGGAUCUGUCACUGGUGCUUAUUCUACAGGAACCAAACUUGGAGGGGCUAUAGCAGCCAACAUUUGUAGAAGAGAAGGAUCAGUAGCAGCAUCUCUAUGCAUUUUCUGUUUAAUUAUUAAGGAAAAUAUGUGCAAGGUACAAAGAGUCUCACAAUUUGUACAAUCCUUCAUUUAGGUGGAGAUGGAGGAGGAUCAGUAGCAGCAAUAAACUCUUCAAGGGAUGGACUACCACGACAGCAUUCAACCUGUUUUUGAAGUUUUGCAAGAUUUCCCAUCAAUGUUAUGUUCGGAUUUUUGUGUUGGGAAUGCAGAAUUCGGUUUUUUGAUCUGGUAUUGUGUUUUUAUUUGCUUCUAAGAUUGUUUCAAAAAGGUAAA